GACGAAUGCUGGCUGCGUGCUUAACACAUGCAAGUCGAACGGUGAAGGAGGGCUUGCCCUCCGGAUCAGUGGCGAACGGGUGAGUAACACGUGGGCAACCUGCCCCCCACUCUGGGAUAACGCCGGGAAACCGGCGCUAAUACCGGAUACGACCAGGCGCGACAUCUCGCCUGGUGGAAAGAAUUUCGGUGAGGGAUGGGCCCGCGGCCUAUCAGCUAGUUGGUGGGGUAACGGCCCACCAAGGCGACGACGGGUAGCCGGCCUGAGAGGGCGACCGGCCACACUGGGACUGGGACACGGCCCAGACUCCUACGGGAGGCAGCAGUGGGGAAUAUUGCGCAAUGGGCGAAAGCCUGACGCAGCGACGCAGCGUGAGGGACGAAGGCCUUCGGGUUGUAAACCUCUUUCAGCGGGGACGAAGCGAAAGUGACGGUACCCGCAGAAGAAGCACCGGCUAACUACGUGCCAGCAGCCGCCGUAAAAC
rnacentral:rRNA from 1 species